rnacentral:rRNA from 1 species
UUUAUGGAGAGUUUGAUCCUGGCUCAGGAUGAACGCUGGCGGCGUGCCUAAUACAUGCAAGUCGAGCGAACAGAUGAGGAGCUUGCUCCUUUGACGUUAGCGGCGGACGGGUGAGUAACACGUGGGUAACCUACCUAUAAGACUGGAAUAACUCCGGGAAACCGGGGCUAAUGCCGGAUAACAUGUUGAACCGCAUGGUUCAACAGUGAAAGACGGUCUUGCUGUCACUUAUAGAUGGACCCGCGCCGUAUUAGCUAGUUGGUAAGGUAACGGCUUACCAAGGCGACGAUACG